rnacentral:rRNA from 1 species
CACGAAGUUAGCCGGGGCUUCUUCUCCGGUUACCGUCAUUAUCUUCACCGGUGAAAGAGCUUUACAACCCUAAGGCCUUCAUCGCUCACGCGGCAUGGCUGGAUCAGGCUUGCGCCCAUUGUCCAAUAUUCCCCACUGCUGCCUCCCGUAGGAGUUUGGGCCGUGUCUCAGUCCCAAUGUGGCUGAUCAUCCUCUCAGACCAGCUAUGGAUCGUCGCCUUGGUAGGCCUUUACCCCACCAACUAGCUAAUCCAACGCGGGCUCAUCCAUCCCCGAUAAAUCUUUCCCCCGUAGGGCGUAUGCGGUAUUAAUUCCAGUUUCCCAGAGCUAUUCCGCAGGGUUGGGUAGAUUCCCACGCGUUACUCACCCGUCUGCCACUCCCCUUGCGGGGCGUUCGACUUGCAUGUGUUAAGCCUGCCGCCAGCGUUCGUUCUGAGCCAGGAUCAAACUCU